UUUUAAUCGCUGUCAAAACGCAUCAUAUGGCCACCGCUUUAACUAACUCUUCAACUCCACUAGGAAAAGUAACUCAAACGCACGUUCAAUUAAUGUGGAUGUGAAACGGCAGUCGGACACGACACUAAACAGGCUACAGGAGACCCCGAAACUAACAGCAAACGGUUGGGAAUAAGCUGAAUUCCACAUUUCACCGGAACUCCGCUGGUUUGUGAGGCACCUGCUUCAAGCGGACUAGAGAGCGCAGAAAGUUCAUGCUUUUUCUCUGCUAGCUGAGUACUUCUAAGCCACUUGAAUGUAUAGCAUGAUGAUGGAAACGGACCUGCAUUCCCCGGGACCCCAGACCAACACGAAUCCGGGGCAAACGGGUCCAAAUUCGGGGAGCAAAGCCAACCAAGACCGCGUAAAAAGACCCAUGAACGCUUUUAUGGUCUGGUCCCGGGGCCAGCGCAGAAAAAUGGCCCAGGAGAACCCCAAAAUGCACAACUCUGAAAUUAGCAAAAGACUCGGAGCUGAGUGGAAGGUGAUGUCAGAGGCUGAAAAGCGGCCCUUUAUUGAUGAGGCGAAGCGAUUGCGAGCCAUGCACAUGAAGGAGCAUCCGGAUUACAAAUACAGACCGAGGCGCAAAACCAAGACCCUGCUUAAAAAGGACAAGUAUUCGUUGGCUGGCGGCUUGCUUGGCGGUGCGGGUGCUGGGGUUGGGAUGAGUCCUGCAGGGGUCGGCCAGAGGUUGGAGAGUCCUGGGGGUCACGGAGGCUCAGCCGGCGCUGGCUAUGCACACAUGAACGGCUGGGCGAACGGCACUUACUCCGGCCAGGUGGCCGCCGCGGCAGCAGCGGCUGCGAUGAUGCAGGAGGCACAGCUCGCUUACAGCCAGCACCCAGGUAGUGGGUCUCACCAUCACCACGCUCAUCACCAUCACCCGCACAACCCUCAGCCCAUGCACCGCUACGAUAUGACUGCUCUUCAGUACAGCCCCAUCUCGAACUCGCAGAGCUACAUGAGCGCCUCUCCGUCUGGCUACGGCGGGAUAUCGUACACGCAGCAUCAGAACUCCAGCGUCGCUUCUUCUGCAGCAAUCGGGACGCUGAGCUCGCUCGUCAAGUCCGAACCCAAUAUAAGCCCUCCGGUUACCACACACUCCCGAGGCCCCUGCCCCGGAGACUUGAGAGAGAUGAUUAGUAUGUAUUUACCGACCGGCGAGUCCGGGGAUCCGUCAGUUCAGAGCAGACUGCAUGCCUUACCGCAGCACUAUCAGAGCACAACCGCCGGAGUUAACGGAACUGUCCCAUUGACGCAUAUUUGAAACAGCUGAUGGAAAGUGACGGAGAGGUCUGUGUAAGGAUGAUUGUGAGAGACUCUGCUGGAAUUUGGCAGGCCCGCAGCUUGGAGAGGUGCCCCACGCUGUGACUCCCAUUCAGCGGUCCAGCGCGCUGUGAGGUUGGGAAGUUUCACUGAGCCGUGCACUCAAUGGCUCCACAAAGCUGAUUACAAGCCCCAGCGAAUUCCUGAAGAGACCGGGCAGCCACGCAGGUGUGCGGGAAACCGGGGCAACCCUUCAGAGUUAUAGUGACAGAGCAAGACAACCCGGGAGACCACACAAAAAGCAAAGCGUCCCGGGAAGCGGCCAGGGAUUUGGUGGGAAAAGAACACCUCAAAUGCCCUCUCUUGUGCGAAAAGGGAAGGGAAGAGAAACUUUCCGAAGGCUUAUUAAAACGAUGCCCAGUCUCCUCAAGAUAGUGAACUAAAAUGACUGUAUACUGUAUAUUUUUGAGAGGGCCAACUCCCUGGCGUGCUGUAUUUUAGAGUGCCCAUUUAGCCGGGCCCCCUGCUCUCCUGACAGCUGAUGGAAAAGGCAGUGUAACAAUGAGCCCCCACCGUGCCUCUCUGCCUGCCCCCAACCACCAGGGGAAGAGGAAGCAGCAGCAGCCGUGCGACACAUUAUUCUGUCCCCCCGGAACCUGCAGCAAGGCCAAGCCCCCCCUCUGGUUUCCCUCGGACCUCUAAGUGCCAAGCCAGGGACUGAGUGACAUUUCCAGAGUCCUGACCUUUGUUUUUCCAUUGACUGGGAAGACGUUUGAAGGAGGUAUGGUGCACGCUGGUAGACUCUCGGCAAACAGCACACAUGAUUUUAGAGCAGCUCACACAAAAGGAGAACCAAGCCCUAUACUGUCACAGAGCUUAUGUUCUCAUAAACUGUGAGAGAAACGCUAAAGUAUAUCUGGUUUACGUUCUAUAUUACUUCACCAAAUCUGGCAUGCAUGGUAAACUAAGUAGACUAAUGAAAGGUAACCUCAGUGCACUUUGACUAAACUUUAAGAGCAGAGUUUAAUCUUCUCAAAAAUGACCACUGGAGACCAAAUCAUGGCACAUUUUGUGUUUCUGAAAAGCUCCCCUCAAAAUGAAGUCAGAUUAUUGUACCAUUUAGUGUUACAUAGAAACGUCUACCGCAAAAUUAAUUCAGGAGGCAUGUUGGUUUGAAGUAUGGGUUCACAUAGGACUACAUUUAAAAGCAAAACAGGAAAAAGGAAAGCCUCAUGCGGAGAAAAUGGCAUAAAAUGGAGGGUACUGCAGUGUUGAUAGGUUGAGUCUUGGGCUUUAUUAAUGAUACAAGCUGCUGGCCAGUACUUUGGUCAAAUCAGACACCUGCUAUGGCUGCCACACUCUAAGAACGGUGACAUCACAGGGAGCAGGACAAGUCAGAUCCGCUGUUAAUCGCUCACCUUAAUUGAGUGCUCUGCUGAGUUCCAAAUUGCUCAGUACAAUCAAGACUCAUUUGAGAGUCCCACCAUGUGCUCUUAGGCCAUGAUGAGAUAUUGCCUUCAUUGCCUGUUGUUUCUGAAUAUUAGCCUUUCUUUCAAUAUGCCCCCUACAUAUUUGACUUUUUUACUCAUACCCUUCAGGUCGCUGUUUUUACUGGCUGUGGUUUUCUCUCAUUUCCCUGAAUUCCAGGUGGGGGAGGAAGCUAUUGUUUUCGAACAUCCUGGUCCUACUCGUCAUUUGUUCCUCACUAAUUCCAAAAAGUAUGCACCAAAGUAUUCUGGUGGUGCAACUACCCGGGGAGCGGGCCAACCCUGUCAUUUAGAAGUAAGUUUAUCCUGUGGUGGGAUAGAGAAACUGUGGGGAUAAAGGCAGCAGGCCUAUCCCAUGACUAGGCUGGCGGAGGGGGGUGGAAAGCCUACCCCACAGCUGGGACAGGCCAGGUAAGGAUCACUUACAAGCUGCAGGGUUGGGAGCAUCAUUGUGGCACCGAACUGCCCGCAGUAUUUACAGCCCCCCAUACACACUUCAACAGUCUCAGGUUCAACCUGCUAGCUGUGAUGGAGCAGAUAAUAUGCCUCCAGAGGAACCAUCUGGAAAACCGAGCCACCUCUCUCCUGUUGCUGCCCCAACGUAAAUUUUCAUGCACCUGUCUGUGCACCAGACGCCUUUCUCAGCCUCUGCUUUUUUUUUUUUCAAUAAUAGCACAUGUUGUCACAUUUUAUGGGGUGAGUUGUGAAAAUGUAUCCUUCCUUAAAAAUAGAGGCUCCUUUUACAGCAAUGGGAAAAAUGAUAAAGGCAAUCAAUAAAACAAAAAUAAACAAAAAAUAUUAAUUACAAAAACAUGAAACCUAUUAUUUUGGCCAGUAAAAACUAUAAUAAAUAAACCACUGAAAAAAAAAAAUUCUUCCCCUUGAGACAACCAGCCCCAGUGGUCUCCCCUAAACAGUGACAGAAUUAUACUGACAAACCAAUUAAACGUGAGACAGCAGCUACAUUAAAUAAACAGUGCAAAAUAAUCUUCCUGUUUUUUUUUUCUCUGCACAGCUGAAUGUUCACUGAGCUGAAAAAAAGAAAAGUACAUUACCUUGAUAACUGUACAUACAAAAACGUGUGUGCUAGUAUUUGGUGAUCAUACCUCAGCAGACCAGCUUCUUAGUCCGUGCAGAAAUGUCAACCUCUCAUCAUCACGCUAUAUGGACACAGCAGGUGUCAGUGAUGAUAGUUUCACUGUGACAGCUGUGUCUAAAGGGUCCAGAACUUAGACAUCAUAAUUAUAGUCAUAGAGACACGCACAGAGUCAGCCUAUACCUUUCAGGCUCACAUCCCAAUACAAAAAUUACCUAAUUAUGUUAUUCCUGCAUUGAUGUGUGAUUGUAUUAAUGAGACGCACAGCAGAUCAAGCUACAUGACUAUCUUUUAACGUCUGUUAUGAUGGAAUGAACUACUCGACCAGUGAAGCAUUCCAAAUGAUGUAAUUGAAUCAGCAACAACAGUACAAUAUAGAACUAGGUACUCGAAGUAAUCAACUAUGGCCUAAAAUAAAAUAUAUUUAACAUUUAUAGCAGAAUUUUAAAAUAUGUACAAAGAUACACUUUGUUUUAAUGUUUUUGAAAGAAGUUUCUUAUGCUCCAACGGCUGCAUUUAUCUGAUCAAAAAUACAGUAAAAACAGUUACAUUGUGAAAUAUUACAAUUUAAAAGAACAGUUUACUUUACUUUUGCAACCAUUUCUAUUUCUAUAGUAGCAGCAACUGUCUGAUUGUUGGAUUCCACUUUAUUAGAAUGUUGAGCUGUGUGAUUCUUUAUGCAAGGUUCCGAAAAUAUAUAUAUAAAAAGAAAAAGUGAAAGUCAUACUGACUGGUAGCUUCUACAGACAAAUUUUUCAUCACUUUACCUCAGAGCUUUGAAAAAAUGUAUACAUUAUUACUAAAAUGAUAAAUGGAAUUAGUACUCCUUGGAACGCCACUGCUGUGCUCUAUUGUUGAUUCCCCGGGAGCUGAAGUUUCAAGGUAUGCAAGACGUUCCUCUCUACACAACUCUGUGUGAGUAUGUUCAUGUCCAUCAGCACGUGUGACACAGGGAGGGUACAGUUCUAAAGUUACACUCUUGUAAAUGAGAAAUGUAAAUGUGUCUUUCUUGCAGUACUUUUGUGGGUGUGGGCGGUUUGUAACUUUAACCUCUUGCUCCACCUAUCACUAGCUGUCCAUCACACCAGCCUGGAAGUGCUUUCCUCCCUCGUGCUCAUCAGAGUCCUCCAACAUACUUUCAUCCUGGAUCAGGUGACCUCAGGUUUAUGAAGAACGGAGCCAGCACGAUGGAUGCGGUUUAUCUAGGAACGAGACUUGAAUGUCCCUGUGACAUGGACACACGUCUCACCUCUCCCUCCAUGGCGACUGUUCUUCCUGCUACAGCCACAAGCUUCCUCUCCUCUUGGUUUGAUUUGUUCAGGGCUUGCAGCACUUGUCGCCUCAGGCAAUCAUAAUUUUAGGCCAACGUUUGGGAGGGAGAACAUUAGUUACACUGUCUUUCUUAAUUAAUGUCACCUAUAUUCCCAUGCUUGUCCAAUCAUAAGAAAUUAUCUGCUGAGAUUAUAAGGGCCACUAUUUUAUGGCUCUAGAAAUUGUAAUUAAAUGCUUUUUCAAGACUGUCUCUUUCAGUAAAUGCAUUGUGGUCCCAAACAAACUCAUUUGAGAGGAUGAAAUCAAUGUAAAAAUAAAAUAAAAAAAUCUUUGUUUUUCUCAUUAGAAGCCAUUGGUGGAGUUAAUUGAUUUCAAAGCUGCGAGAAGAUGCUGGUUUAACAGCCUUCCUCGUUGAUCUUGAUAACAGUGUGGGCCAAUACCUAACGAGGUGCUGCAUUAAUUGUCCCCCUCUGUUGAUGGUGUUCAUUCUGUGUUUAACUGAGAGAUUGAUGUAUUGAUUGAAUGAGCGGAGCAGCCUGGGAAUGGAGCUGAGUUGGUGUUCUCAUUCUCGGCUCUGAUGGACUUCAGUGAUGAGAGUGUCUCCAAUGCUGACACUGAGGCUGCUGGGACUGUCAACUUGCACGAGGGAGGUCUGUUCCGAAUCUGACUGCUAAUAAAGCUCUCUCAUUCAAGAAGUCAUCGGCUGUCUUCGGGAUUCUUGGCUGCUUUUCUUAUGAGGAAGGCUGUGCUCCUCUUUUCUGUCAGGGCUGGUGGGGGAGGCGCUGGACGAAGUGGGGGAGAGUUGUAAACUGUGAGCAGUAGGGGGUCGCUCUCCCAAAUAGAUGUCACGAAUUUUAACAAGCAGUUUCAGCCCAUCUCAAAAGACAUGGAGCACAGCGGGGUGAACAAAGAUGGUCUUUGUCUGGGUGUAAAGAUGGGUGGGUGGGUGAGAUGUG